AGAGUUUGAUCCUGGCUCAGAGUGAACGCUGGCGGCAGGCCUAACACAUGCAAGUCGAGCGGCAGCGCAGCAGUAGCAAUACUGUGGGCGGCGAGCGGCGGACGGGUGAGGAACACAUCGGAAUCUACCCUGUCGUGGGGGACAACGUAGGGAAACUUACGCUAAUACCGCAUACGACCUUCGGGUGAAAGUGGGGGACCGCAAGGCCUCACGCGAUUGGAUGAGCCGAUGUCCGAUUAGCUAGUUGGCGGGGUAAAGGCCCACCAAGGCGACGAUCGGUAGCUGGUCUGAGAGGACGACCAGCCACACUGGAACUGAGACACGGUCCAGACUCCUACGGGAGGCAGCAGUGGGGAAUAUUGGACAAUGGGGGCAACCCUGAUCCAGCCAUGCCGCGUGGGUGAAGAAGGCCUUCGGGUUGUAAAGCCCUUUUGUACGGGAAGAAAAGCGUCUGGUGAACAUCCGGGCGUCAUGACGGUACCGUAAGAAUAAGCACCGGCUAACUUCGUGCCAGCAGCCGCGGUAAUACGAAGGGUGCAAGCGUUACUCGGAAUUACUGGGCGUAAAGCGUGCGUAGGUGGUUUGUUAAGUCUGAUGUGAAAUCCCCGGGCUCAACCUGGGAAUGGCAUUGGAUACUGGCAGGCUAGAGUGCGGUAGAGGGUGGUGGAAUUCCCGGUGUAGCAGUGAAAUGCGUAGAGAUCGGGAGGAACAUCUGUGGCGAAAGCGGCCACCUGGACCAGCACUGACACUGAGCACGAAAGCGUGGGGAGCAAACAGGAUUAGAUACCCUGGUAGUCCACGCCCUAAACGAUGCGAACUGGAUGUUGGUGCAACUUGGCACUCAGUAUCGAAGCUAACGCGUUAAGUUCGCCGCCUGGGGAGUACGGUCGCAAGACUGAAACUCAAAGGAAUUGACGGGGGCGGA
rnacentral:rRNA from 1 species